rnacentral:rRNA from 1 species
CUUGGUCAUUUAGAGGAAGUAAAAGUCGUAACAAGGUCUCCGUUGGUGAACCAGCGGAGGGAUCAUUACCGAGUUUACAACUCCCAAACCCCUGUGAACAUACCAAUUGUUGCCUCGGCGGAUCAGCCCGCUCCCGGUAAAACGGAACGGCCCGCCAGAGGACCCCUAAACUCUGUUUCUAUAUGUAACUUCUGAGUAAAACCAUAAAUAAAUCAAAACUUUCAACAACGGAUCUCUUGGUUCUGGCAUCGAUGAAGAACGCAGCAAAAUGCGAUAAGUAAUGUGAAUUGCAGAAUUCAGUGAAUCAUCGAAUCUUUGAACGCACAUUGCGCCCGCCAGUAUUCUGGCGGGCAUGCCUGUUCGAGCGUCAUUUCAACCCUCAAGCCCCCGGGUUUGGUGUUGGGGAUCGGCGAGCCUCACGGCAAGCCGGCCCCGAAAUACAGUGGCGGUCUCGCUGCAGCUUCCAUUGCGUAGUAGUAAAACCCUCGCAACUGGUACGCGGCGCGGCCAAGCCGUUAAACCCCCAACUUCUGAAUGUUGACCUCGGAUCAGGUAGGAAUACCCGCUGAACUUAAGCAUAUCAAUAAGCGGAGNA